AUUGAACGAUGGCGGAAUGCUUUACACAUACAGGUCGAACGGCAGCACGGACUUGGGUCUGGUGGCGAGUGGCGAACGGGUGAGUAAUGUAUCGGAACGUGCCCAGUCGUGGGGGAUAACGUAGUGAAAAUUACGCUAAUACAGCAUACGAUCUAUGGAUGAAAGCGGGGGAUCGCAAGACCUCGAGCGCUUGGAGCGGCCGAUAUCAGAUUAGGUAGUUGGUGGGGUAAAGGCCUACCAAGCCAACGAUCUGUAGCUGGUCUGAGAGGACGACCAGCCACACUGGAACUGAGACACGGUCCAGACUCCUACGGGAGGCAGCAGUGGGGAAUUUUGGACAAUGGGCGAAAGCCUGAUCCAGCCAUGCCGCGUGCAGGAUGAAGGCCCUCGGGUUGUAAACUGCUUUUGUACAGAACGAAAAGGUUUCUACUAAUACUAGGAGCUCAUGACGGUACUGUAAGAAUAAGCACCGGCUAACUACGUGCCAGCCGCCGCCGUAA
rnacentral:rRNA from 1 species